GGGAGUACGAACGCAAGUUUGAAACUCAAAGGAAUUGACGGGGGCCCGCACAAGCGGUGGAUUAUGUGGUUUAAUUCGAUGAUACGCGAGGAACCUUACCAAGGCUUAAAUGGGAAUUGAUCGGUUUAGAAAUAGACCUUCCUUCGGGCAAUUUGCAAGGUGCUGCAUGGUUGUCGUCAGCUCGUGCCGUGAGGUGUUAGGUUAAGUCCUGCAACGAGCGCAACCCCUGUCACUAGUUGCCAUCAUUCAGUUGGGGACUCUAGUGAGACUGCCUACGCAAGUAGAGAGGAAGGUGGGGAUGACGUCAAAUCAUCACGGCCCUUACGCCCUGGGCCACACACGUAAUACAAUGGCCGGUACAGAGGGCAGCUACACAGCGAUGUGAUGCAAAUCUCGAAAGCCGGUCUCAGUUCGGAUUAGAGUCUGCAACUCGACUCUAUGAAGCUGGAAUCGCUAGUAAUCGCGCAUCAGCCAUGGCGCGGUGAAUACGUUCCCGGGCCUUGUACACACCGCCCGUCAAGCCAUGGAAGUCUGGGGUACCUGAAGUCGGUGACCGUAAAAGGAGCUGCCUAGGGUAAAACAGGUAACUAGGGCUAAGUCGUAACA
rnacentral:rRNA from 1 species